GUCGGGAAUGGCUGCGCGGGGCCGGAUGGAGGACAAACCCGCCCUGGAGACAACGGGGCGGUGAUGACUUGAACGCCAGCGUGAUAGGCGUGAAAGGAGUUUUAAGCCGCCCUACCUGGUGGAUCCAAGCCAGAUUGCUGACAAAACAAAGGCCCGGUGUACAGUCUGCGUAGUACCGAGCGAAACCUUGGCCCAAGUAUAUUAAAACAUUUUUAGAGGAAACAUGGCAUUGUACCCAGCAUUAACUGGUUGCCUCAUUGACAGGGUUCCUUGGAUCUCACCCAGAGUAUUGAAGAUGACCCCCUUCUGGAUACCCACCAUCUCCCACAUCAUUCAUUACAUGCUCAUUUUAGACCCAGAUUCCAUCCUCUUCCUACGGUCAUCAUAGCAAAUCUUCUCUUAUUAAUACAUGUUGUAUUUGUCAUUUUAGCAUUUUUAACAGGUAUACUUUGUUCUUACCCUAAUCCAAUUGAGGACAAGUGCCCAGGAAACUAUACCAACCCACUGAAAGUUCAGACAGUCAUAAUCCUUGGGAAGGUUAUCUUGUGGAUCCUGCAUUUCCUUCUUGAGCGCUACAUCCAGUAUCACCACAACAAAGUGAGAAACCGGGCUACACCAUGAUCUACCU